UAGGAAAGAGUGAAUCGAUAACUUCACAUAGGAUAGAAUACAGAAAAAGGAUUUAUGUGACCGAUCCAAUUUAAUUUGUCAAGGAUUCAUAGCCAACCCCGAAUUUUAAGAGUAAGACUUUGUCAUUGUUGUUUGUUCGGGCUAUGCCUUGUAAACAUAUUGGUCAUUGUGUCCACUUCGCUAUUAUAUUAGCGCUAAAGGAAGCAGGAUUUUUCCAGAAACUCAUCUCUCCAAGUAGGCCUUUCCAAGAUCGAUUGAACUUGAAGAAAUCGAGCAACCCGCCGUCAUCUGAUCCAAAAUUUGAUCGAUUCGAUGAGCUUGUUAGUCGGCCGCAGUUCUGAAAGAUGUAGAUUCGACAAAGUCGGUUCAAGUGACGGGCGAGAGUGCUUGAAACCCAACGAACCCGACUCGGACCAAAAACCUUCUCUUCCACCCUUUUUCCAGCGAGUUUUCUGGCCAUUUAAAGAUAAAAAGAUCUCGACAAAUCUGACCACAUUUUGGCCAGAUCUAACAAACCUAACGAACUCGACAUUCGACCACCACCCGAUGAGGCACGAUCCGAUGUGCUUGGCGGGUCAGUUGCAAGUUUCAUUCUUUCCAACUCAAAGUGUGACUUUCACUACUUCUAUGGCUGGGAGAACGUUACGAGGCUGAGAAUCUAUUUGGUGAAAAAUGGGCUUUUGUCCAAUUGCCAAUUUCAGCUGUUCGUGAGGAGGUCUCAUCCUUGGAGACAAGAUUGGUGUUUGGUGCAGGUCUAGAUUUGGAUUUACUGGGAAUUGAAAUUGAUGAUAAGACAUUAAUUCCAGGACUGGCUGUCGCGACUUCACGUGCUAGACCUUUAGCAGCUUGGAUGAAUGGACUGGAAGUCUGUUCAAUUGAGGCUGAACUCAGUCGUGCUUCCUUGAUUUUAUCUGUUGGAAUUUCUAAUCGGUAUAUUUAUGCUACCUACAAGAAAACUCCUGAAACAACAAAUGAAUCUGAAGCUUGGGAAGCAACUAAAAAAGCCUGUGGAGGCUUACAUUUCCUUGAAAUCCAAGAAGACUUAGAUUCGGAUGAUUGUGUUGGAUUUUGGCUCCUACUAGACUUGCCACCUCCACCUGUAUAAUUUAAAUUAUUAAAUAAAAGAAAAUUCCUUGCUAACACAAUCUCUCAAAU